rnacentral:rRNA from 1 species
AGGACGAACGCUGGCGGUGUGCUUCACACAUGCAAGUCGAACGAGGUAGCAAUACCUAGUGGCGGACGGGUGAGUAACGCGUGGGAAUCUGCCUUUAGAUGGGGGAUAACGGGCCGAAAGGUCCGCUAAUACCGCAUAGGCCGCAAGGUUAAAGGAGUAAUCCGUCUAAAGAUGAGCCCGCGUCCGAUUAGCUAGUUGGUAGGGUAAAAGCCUACCAAGGCGACGAUCGGUAGCUGGUCUGAGAGGAUGAUCAGCCACACUGGAACUGAGACACGGUCCAGACUCCUACGGGAGGCAGCAGUGGGGAAUCUUGCGCAAUGGACGAAAGUCUGACGCAGCGACGCCGCGUGGGUGAUGAAGGCCUUCGGGUUGUAAAGCCCUGUGGGAGAGACGAAUAAGUCGGAGCCAAUAACUCCGAUGAUGACGGUAUCUCCUUAGCAAGCACCGGCUAACUCUGUGCCAGCAGCCGC